CCAAAUUCUAUUACUAAUGCCAUCACCUUGGGUGUUAGGUUUCAUCAUUUAAAUUUUAGAAGAACACAUUCAGACCAUAGGAGUAAAUAAAGAUAGACUGAGAGAAAUCAAAGAUUGCUCCUAAGUCCAUUUAGUGCUUGAGGAACAAGGUAGUCCAUGUAAGGGAAGCUGGACUUUCUGUUUUAGAUGGUUACGCUUGAUAUCCAAGAAUAGAUAUCAAAGGAGUAGUUGGAUAUAAUAGGCUGGAGUUUAGGGCUGAGAUAUAAAUUUGAGUGUUGAUGGUAUUUACAGCAACAGAACUUACUUUUGAAAUACAGUUUAUUAGUAUGAAAGAUGUUUUAAAUGUGGAGUCACAAGGAGUCUGUGGGUGAACUUCUUUUGCCCUGUAAAUAAAGUGCAAUGACAAACUCUGAUGGAUUUAGGGUUCCUGCUGCUUGUGGAUGUUAUGGUGUCAUCCCAGAUGGAUCUACUGCAUCUUAUAGGCCAGGCACCAACAGGAACUGGUGCUGCUGUCUCCUUCAAUGGAUCUGUGAACCCAUGAAGACCCUUUCCAAAAGCUCACUUGUCCUAGCCAACCUAGCACCAAAGCCAGAUACCAUUUCAGAAGGUCCUUGAAUCUCUUUGCCUGCAACUUUUAUUGAGAAUCAUUCUGUUAUGUUGUAACUUUGUGUGAACGUGUUUGUCCACUAGAUCAAGCCAAAAUGUGAUCCGUGGCAAAGGAAGCUUUUGACUAAAUUAAAAGAACGGAGAAGAACAGAUGCAUUAUUGCAACUCCAAGCAAAAUUUUUGAAGAUUUCCAACCCUGAGCGAGUAAUGAAGUGCUCCAAGAUCAUGCUGCAAAGAUAGUCAUGCUGGCUCCACAUCAUCCAUCCUUUGUGCCUUCCCAGGGUUUGCAUCAGUGCAACUAUGACCAAGUCUGGGAGAAUAUUUACAGCAACAUCAACCUCUGUCAGAAUAAAAAUAUGAAGGAUGAUGACCUCUCCAUGAAACAAAAUGGAAAUGAUCUAUCACAAAUAAAUCUCAGCCAACAUGCUAAUGGGCCUCUCGAGCAGAUACAAGAGACGGGGUACAACUAUGCAAUGACCCUACAACUGCUGGGCUUGGAUGACGGCACUGAGCCCAGUGAUAGGAAUCCUGUCCUGAUGAGAGGGGCCUACUUGUCUUUUCUGUAUCUGCGCCAUCUUCGAAUCAGAGAACUGCAGCGCAUCUGCUUAGGAAUUCUGAAUUAUUUCAGAUCUGUUGAGCGAACCCUGACAAUCAACACUUCGGGCCUUACCUUGGUUUCAGGGAAACUGGUCCCCACCAUGGAAGAUAGUUCCUGGGUAAAUAUGGCAAAAGGAGGUCUGGGCACCUCGCAGGGCCUGGGCGCUCACCACUAUGUCCAUGAGACGCCUGCUGAGCACAAGGUCCACGGCAUCCAAUUCAUGGAGUUCUCGGAAGUGGAGAACCAGGAUGACUACUACAGCACGGAAGCUGGCUGUAUCCACACCCAGGACCAGCAAGGGGUGCAUGUCAUGUAUGAGGAAGCCUUGAGUGAUCUCAAGGAACUAGAGGCAGAGUUGCUGCUUGUGGCUAGCCAUUACAUUGAGAAAGAAAGGGGUGAGAAGUCAGAUUAA
rnacentral:lncRNA from 1 species